CGGGCUCGAGCUCGAGCUCGAGCUCCCCUCGGCGCCGCCGCUUCCUGCUCCACCUCGCACCUGGCCGACAGGAGGCGAAGGGCUGGCCGGCGCCGCCCGGCCGAGCGCAGAUUUCACAAGAUGGGCUGGAUGGAGCUGCAAAGUGGACAAGAGAUCUGAACAGCUGCUCCCCAAUUACACUUUGCAUUGAGCAAAGAAAGAGGUAGAGUCAGCUGAACAUAAAUGUCACCACUGCAGAGAGAUCAUACACAAAUCUAUUCCCUGCUGGAAUCUCAAGCCUCGGUGAAUUCAUCAGUGAAUUUCACAUUCAUUGAAAUCCCAAAACAAGUUCCAUAGAAAAUCCCUUAAAGACAUCAGCAGCUCUGUCUUCAGAAUAAUGUACAAUAAGGAAGGCAUGAAGCUUCACACUGAGCGACAUGGAGAAAGCAGGAGAAUGAAUAGCUGUUACUGGAAUGAGCACCCUCCAUCCUGUCCACUGAGUUCAACAACUUCUCCAGAAAAGAGGUCUCAGAAGCUUAGAGAUCACAGAUGCAUAUUGGCAACUAUUGAAAACUGAGAGUUACACAUAGAAGUAAGGUAGAAGAAUCUUAAUUCAUUUUUACUGUAUCUUUUACUGUGUUUUUAUCCCCAAAGCACACAAUGUUUCUACUUUCAUAUUGCAGAUGAUCAAAAUGGCUAAUGAAUCUAGUGCAAGUUUUAUCUGAAGCCAUGCAUAAAUGUACUUUCUGUAGAGAAUAAAAUGUCUGCCAUUUAUCAUCUAACCUUUCCAUGAAUCAAAGCUUGCUUUAUUUUAUAUAAUUCUUCUUCUAAACAAUGUUUAAUCAGUCAAGUUUUCAAAAAUAUAUCUGUUAGAAAGGCUUACUAAUGCUUUUUAGGAGCAUAAAAAGGAUACAGAAAGAAGAAAAAAUGAUGAACAACUAUAGUGCACUUAUAAAAGCUCCCAGACUUUUCAGUUUGUUCCCCCAUUUUGUUUACUUUGCCAGGAGAAUAAACAAGUGAUUUGUUUGUCAUUUUUCCCUCCCUGAGACAGAAAAUUAUCAAUACUUACUACAGUUGAGCAAAUAAUUUAAAAUGAAUGAUUUAUAAAAUUAAUGAAUUCUUUUCUCCUGUUUAUGUAAUAACUGACAGAUCACAAAUUUCUUUUAAAUUUAUUCCUUAGUUAAGUUUAUUUGAUACAUCUUAAUGAUUCUACUACUCUGCAGAUUUAAGGUUAAAUUUAAUCUGCAUAUUAAUGAAUGUGAUUGAUUGUUUUCUUAUGGCUGGUCAAAUAAAUGAAGUUAUGUCAUUUUCA